rnacentral:rRNA from 1 species
ACGGGUGAGUAACGCGUGGGUAACCUGCCAUAUACUUGGGGAUAACACUUAGAAAUAGGUGCUAAUACCGCAUAAGCGCACAUGGCCGCAUGGCCAGGUGUGAAAAACUCCGGUGGUAUAUGAUGGACCCGCGUCUGAUUAGCUAGUUGGUGAGGUAACGGCCCACCAAGGCGACGAUCAGUAGCCGGCCUGAGAGGGUGGACGGCCACAUUGGGACUGAGACACGGCCCAAACUCCUACGGGAGGCAGCAGUGGGGGAUAUUGGACAAUGGGGGGAACCCUGAUCCAGCGACGCCGCGUGAGUGAAGAAGUAUCUCGGUAUGUAAAGCUCUAUCAGCAGGGAAGAAAGAAAUGACGGUACCUGAGUAAGAAGCCCCGGCUAACUACGUGCCAGCAGCCGCGGUAAUACGUAGGGGGCAAGCGUUAUCCGGAAUUACUGGGUGUAAAGGGAGCGUAGACGGUGAUGUAAGUCUGGAGUGAAAGGCGGGGGCCCAACCCCCGGACUGCUCUGGAAACUAUA